rnacentral:misc_RNA from 1 species
GAUGAAGAACGUAGCGAAAUGCGAUAAGUAAUGCGAAUUGCAGAAUCCGUGAGUCAUCGAAUCUUUGAACGCACAUUGCGCCCUCUGGUAUUCCGGAGGGCAUGCCUGUUCGAGCGUCAUUAUCACCCCUCAAGCCCGGCUUGUUGUUGGAUGCAGCGCUUAUCCCGCUCCUCCCAAAGAUAAUGACGGCGUCUGCGACGACUCCUGUACACUGAGCUUUCGGGCACGUACACGGCUAGAAGUCCAGACCCGGUCGCCGUCCCCCCCGCGGGGACACCCAUUACCACAAGGUUGAUCUCGGAUCAGGUAGGAAUACCCGCUGAACUUAAGCAUAUCAAUAAGCGGAGGA